rnacentral:rRNA from 1 species
ACGGCAGCACAGAGGAGCUUGCUCCUUGNGGUGGCGAGUGGCGGACGGGUGAGGAAUACAUCGGAAUCUACUCUUUCGUGGGGGAUAACGUAGGGAAACUUACGCUAAUACCGCAUACGACCUUCGGGUGAAAGCAGGGGAUCGCAAGACCUUGCGCGAUUGAAUGAGCCGAUGUCGGAUUAGCUAGUUGGCGGGGUAAAGGCCCACCAAGGCGACGAUCCGUAGCUGGUCUGAGAGGAUGAUCAGCCACACUGGAACUGAGACACGGUCCAGACUCCUACGGGAGGCAGCAGUGGGGAAUAUUGGACAAUGGGCGCAAGCCUGAUCCAGCCAUACCGCGUGGGUGAAGAAGGCCUUCGGGUUGUAAAGCCCUUUUGUUGGGAAAGAAAAGCACACGGUUAAUACCCGAGUGUUCUGACGGUACCCAAAGAAUAAGCACCGGCUAACUUCGUGCCAGCAGCCGCGGGUAUACGAAGGGUGCAAGCGUUACUCGGAAUUACGGCGCGUAAAGCGUGCGUAGGUGGUGAUUUAAGUCCGUGGUGACAGCCCUGGGCUCACCCUGGGAAUUGCAGUGGAUACUGGGGUCCCUAGAGUGUGGUAGAGGGUAGGGGAGUUCCGGGGUUGGCGG